UACGUAGGGUGCGAGCGUUAAUCGGAAUUACUGGGCGUAAAGCGUGCGCAGGCGGUUUUGUAAGACAGAUGUGAAAUCCCCGGGCUCAACCUGGGACCUGCAUUUGUGACUGCAAAGCUAGAGUACGGUAGAGGGGGAUGGAAUUCCGCGUGUAGCAGUGAAAUGCGUAGAUAUGCGGAGGAACACCGAUGGCGAAGGCAAUCCCCUGGACCUGUACUGACGCUCAUGCACGAAAGCGUGGGGAGCAAACAGG
rnacentral:rRNA from 1 species